GAUGAACGCUGGCGGCGUGCCUAAUACAUGCAAGUCGAGCGAACGGACGAGAAGCUUGCUUCUCUGAUGUUAGCGGCGGACGGGUGAGUAACACGUGGAUAACCUACCUAUAAGACUGGGAUAACUUCGGGAAACCGGAGCUAAUACCGGAUAAUAUUUUGAACCGCAUGGUUCAAAAGUGAAAGACGGUCUUGCUGUCACUUAUAGAUGGAUCCGCGCUGCAUUAGCUAGUUGGUAAGGUAACGGCUUACCAAGGCAACGAUGCAUAGCCGACCUGAGAGGGUGAUCGGCCACACUGGAACUGAGGCACGGUCCAGACUCCUACGGGAGGCAGCAGUAGGGAAUCUUCCGCAAUGGGCGAGAGCCUGACGGAGCAACGCCGCGUGAGUGAUGAAGGUCUUCGGAUCGUAAAACUCUGUUAUUAGGGAAGAACAUAUGUGUAAGUAACUGUGCACAUCUUGACGGUACCUAAUCAGAAAGCCACGGCUAACUACGUG
rnacentral:rRNA from 1 species